AGAUAAAACUAUAUUUGCAUAUGUUGAAUCAGUUCAAUUAUAUAAUGAUUCAUGCUUCUCUUAACAGUUUACGACGGCAAACCAUUCAUGUCUCUUUUUCAUUUGUUUAUAUGUUGAAUCAGUCCAAUGAUGUGUUAAUUCAUGUGUAUUUUGAAGCAAUUUCUGCUGCAUAACUUUCUGAUAAAUUUCUGAUUGAUGCACAAUCUGUUUCUAAAAUCUGCUUCUUGUCAUUUUCUCGUUCAGUGUUGAGUAAUUUUUAUGUCCCAAUUUCCGAAAUCUUCUUCCUUGUUGCUACAUAACCAGAUACACUUAUCUGUUCCCAAUUUGUGCAUGUAAAUAAGAGUAAUACAGAAAAGUGUGACUUACUUCUAGUUUUCCUCAAUAAAAACCAUAAUUCAAUUGACUGAUAUGUUGAAACCUACAAUCACAGUUUUGCAACAAAUAUUAAGUGGAGACCAAAACCCAAAAAAAAAAAACAACAAACUAUGGUUGUGUUACUUUUCAACAGAGGAAGGGCAUAGGACUUAAUAUGUGUUUUUCUUCACUACAACAUGCUGAAAUACAAACAUUUUCAUUCUUUAAUAGGCAAUAUUUUCGGAAAUAAAAAAGGAAGCAAUUUUUUCUUAAACUUUUUUUGUGUGUGGUUUCAUGUUUUAUUUUGCUAUUUUAAGUGGUUAAUUGCUCAAACUUAUCAAAAUGACAAUCAAAGAAACCAGAUGACCUAUUUUGUCGGGUAAUCUGUAUACCUCUUCAUUCAACUGAUGUACUGCAAUUUUUCCUUCUUCCAGAGCAGGUUUCCUCAGAAGGUGAAGACUGAAACAUUUAUGUCUCUCCUUGAUUUGGUGUGGUCAUUCCUUCCACUCAUCAGGUUAGAUAUAAUUGUAUGUGUAUGUUAAUUCAGUUCAAUGACAUAUAAUUACUGAUCAUGUCCCUUCUUCAUCUGUACCAAAUUAUUUGGUUUGAACUUUGAUGCAGCUGCAUUACUUUGUCAUUGCAGGGGCAAGCACAGUCAUGCAUUCUAUCAAGCCAACAUUAUCCAUCAUAAUCUGUUUGUAAAAUGUUCUCCAUGUUCUUUUCUGGUUUGAUGUUUAAUAGUGUUUAUGAUCCAUCACAAUCUUGUUUGUAAAAUAUUCUCCAAGUUCUUUUCUGAUUUGAUGUUUAAUAGUGUUCUUGAUCCCAAUUCUUCAAACAUUCUCAUUGCUAUAUAGUAGCCACUCGCAUUUCUUUGCAUUCUUCAACUUAGCAAAAGUCUAAAGGGUGUAACUUUACUUAAACUUUUUCUAUGCUAUUUCAUCUUUUAUUUUCUGAUCACUGUGAUUAAUUGUUCAAUGUUCAACCUGGUAAAAUUGACAAAUUAAAGAAGCUGAAUGACAUUUUUGCUGAACAAUCUAUGUACUUCUUCAUUUAACUUGACAUCUAAUUGUGAUAUUCUAUACCAUGUAACUUAUUUAAUACAAGAAUAUUUAAAAAAUAGAGAAAACCAUUA
rnacentral:lncRNA from 1 species